CGCGUUGGCCCAAUUGAUUGAUGGUGCUUGCACCUGAUUGAUUUUGGUCGCCAACGAGUGGCGGACGGGUGAGUAACACGUAGGUAACCUGCCCAGAAGCGGGGGACAACAUUUGGAAACAGAUGCUAAUACCGCAUAAAAACGUUGUUCGCAUGAACAACGCUUAAAAGAUGGCUUCUCGCUAUCACUUCUGGAUGGACCUGCGGUGCAUUAGCUUGUUGGUGGGGUAACGGCCUACCAAGGCGAUGAUGCAUAGCCGAGUUGAGAGACUGAUCGGCCACAAUGGGACUGAGACACGGCCCAUACUCCUACGGGAGGCAGCAGUAGGGAAUCUUCCACAAUGGGCGCAAGCCUGAUGGAGCAACACCGCGUGAGUGAAGAAGGGUUUCGGCUCGUAAAGCUCUGUUGUUAAAGAAGAACACGUAUGAGAGUAACUGUUCAUACGUUGACGGUAUUUAACCAGAAAGUCACGGCUAACUACGUGCCAGCAGCCGCGGUAAUACGUAGGUGGCAAGCGUUAUCCGGAUUUAUUGGGCGUAAAGAGAGUGCAGGCGGUUUUCUAAGUCUGAUGUGAAAGCCUUCGGCUUAAC
rnacentral:rRNA from 2 species